AGUUUGGCAAAUUAAUGGUUGCGAAUCUAACCUCACUCACACCUUUUACAUUUUGGAUUCCAGUGCACUGCUUUGGACUAUAAAUUAGUAAAAAAAAAAACUCAUAACUUUAUACAGUUUUGUGUCAACGUUUGACUUUCAAAGUUAGCAAAGCCGGGCAUCAAAAGCUUUGAGUAGUGGGUUUGAAGGCUCAAGAAGAAAGAUGCACUCGAAAAAAAAUUGGUUGGUUUGUUGGUGUUAUUGUAGUUGCGUAUUGGUUGUCCAACGCUCAAACUACUACAGCUCAAAAUGCUACAGCUCAAACUAUUACAGCUCAAAAUACUACAGCUCCAACCUCUGCAGUUCAAGCUACUACAACUUCAAUUAUUUUAGUUCUUGCUACUCCAGCUCAAACUAGUGCAGCUCAAUCUACUUCAGCUCAAACUACUGCAGGUCAAGCUCCUACAACUUCAACUACUGCUGUCCAAGCUACUACAUCUCCAACUACUACAGGUCAAGCUACUACAUCUCCAACUACUACAGGUCAAGCUACUCCAGUUCAAACUAGUGCAGCUCAAUCUACUACAGCUCAAACUACUGCUGUCCAAGCUACUACAUCUCCAACUACUACAGGUCAAGCUACUCCAGUUCAAACUAGUGCAGCUCAAUCUACUACAGCUCAAACUACUGCAAGUCAAGUCACUCCAGCUCAAAGUACCGUUCCAUCUUCAAUUCCAUCAACUAAAGGGCCAACGACGACGGUUCCACCAGUGUCUGAUACUACAAGUAUGUUGAUCAAUAAUGCUAAAAAAAUUAGUCCGUCUCACGUUCAUAUGUCUACUUCUGUAAAGCUAUAUAUUAACUAUUGUGACAUUCGAAUGGUAUACGUUGAGCUAGGUAUGGUUGGGUAGUUAAUAUCGACCAAAUGUUAUUCAUAAUUGGUUAUCGGCUAAAUAGCUGUUAUUACAAGAGAUUAUUGAGCUUCUUUUCAAGGUGGCUGCUACGAAACUCAAGUGAAUUGAAGAUGCGGCCGUUGGAUUGAUUCCCCCACUCCCCAUCCC